rnacentral:rRNA from 1 species
CGCAUCUGUGCAUGCAGCAUAUCAAUAAGCGGAGGAAAAGAAACUAACAAGGAUUCCCCUAGUAACGGUGAGUGAAGCGGGAAGAGCUCAAAUUUGAAAUCUUAAAGGGUUUCCCUUUACGAAUUGUAGUUUAAAGAAGUGUUUUCUGUUGAGGUUUUGGUAAAAGUUCUUUGGAAUAGGACAUCAUAGAGGGUGAGAAUCCCGUAUUUGACCUUUACUUUCAACUUUGUGAUACACUUUCAAAGAGUCGGAUUGUUUGGGAAUGCAGUCCAAAAUGGGUGGUAAAUUUCAUCUAAAGCUGAAUAUUGGCGAGAGACCGAUAGCGAACAAGUACCGUGAGGGAAAGAUGAAAAGAACUUUGAAAAGAGAGUUAAACAGUACGUGAAAUUGUCAAAAGGGAAGCGUUUGACACCAGUGUUGUUUUUCUGAAAAUCAAUUAAAGAACUGUUUAUGCUAAGCUGUUUAGACUUUAUCAGCUAAUCUGUUUAGUUUUGAGCUUUUCUUUAAUGCACUUUUCAGUUAACAAGUCAACAUCAAUUUCUUUUGCCUGUAAAAAAGCUUGAGGAAGGUGGCUUGAGAUUCGUCUUAAGUGUUUAUAGCCUCUUGCCUAUGCAGUCGGAGAGAUUGAGGUCUGCAGCGUAGAUCCUUCGGGGCUAAAUGCAUUUGUGCUAAGUUAUAGCAUUUUAUAGACAACUUGUUGACUAUGAUUUGUCUUGUAGCUUACUCGCUUAUGUUAUUUUACCUACGCUUAGGAUGUUGAGUCAUCACACAUCUCU